GUCACCAAUCACCAACGAUUGAGUAGCUCUGGGUACGUCUUUUCUGCUUCUUUGCCCCAUAUCUUGCGAGUGCUGCCAUUACUGCCAUUGAUAUCCUCGAGGAAAACCCUGGUCUGAUAACAAAGCUGAAGAAAAAUAUUGCCAUAUUAUGGAAAGGAUUGUCAGCUAUACAGGGCCUCUCAUUCGCUAGCAGUCCAGAAUCCUGAAUUGUCUUCCUCAGACUACAGAAAGCAGAUUCUGUGAAUCCUUUUCUGUCCUUUUCUGAUUGUAAUGGUUGCGGUUAUGCAGUUGUUGAAAGAGCAUUCCAUCUUUGUGGUUGCCUCCAAAAAGUCAUCGCUUGAUAAAUGUCGUCUUCCAUUAGGAAUUAGAUUGUUCGUCUCCGCUGGCCAUAUGUAAUCCGAUCUGUUCAAGGCAGCUGCAUCCAUGAAAGGAGUUUGCAGAAUUUGGUGCUAGAUUAUAUAACCAAGCAGAUUGUCAUUUUCUGAAGGCGUUUUCUAUAGAGGUUUAGUUGAACAUGGAGACAAUAUCCGAUUGCUUGAAGGCAGGAAUGUCUGGUAUUGCUCACCUGGAUAAUUCAUACUUGGAUAGCUACAUCAGCACAAUUGGAGUUGAAUUUAUUAAAUGUCCUAUUUACAGCAAAGCCGUCAGGUUUGGGCUGAUAUUGGGGCUGGGUUGGAAGGGCAAUUUUGUCCUGUGCGUUUGAGACAGAUUGGGGUGGGUUUAGGUUUGCUGUCAUUCAGUGAGUGCUUUCGGGAAUGGGAGGCCAUGCCUCCGAUAGGGAGAGAGACAGAGCGAGAGAGAGGGAGCGGGAGGAGUGGGGAUCUCAGCACCAUUUCUGCAGAUCCUCGAUUUCAUUUGGCUUCGUUUUCCCUUUCUGAAACCCUAACAGCCACAACACCAUCUUUGGAAUAGCAUCGGCUUCCUGCUUCCUAAAAUCAAAACCACUCAAAGUGGCCUUCAUUUAUGUAACUCGAGAGCUUCGGUGAGAUGGAGGAGAGGAGCAUGGAGAUGGGCUCGAGUCCGCAAACGACGGAAGAGAUCUUGAGGUUCAUGGAUUGUUAAGGAGAGUGUGGGAAAGAAAGGGUGCCUCACUGGUUAGGCACUGGAAAUCAAUUAUUUCCAUCGGAAGAACUACUUGGAGUACAUUUGGGAGCAAGCUGAAAUUGAUAUCAUUGAGCACAAGACAAGAAAAAGCCUCCAUUUCCAUCUCCUAAAAGCAGCAGAAGAAAAUUAAACAAGCAUUUUCAUACAGCUGGAGGCUGUGGUCACUGCCUGACAUCAAAGACUACUUAGAAGUGGCAGCCUUUAAGUCCGUUCAUUUUUUAAUGCGCAAGAUGCAAGACAACAGAAAAAUCCGAAGAACAGAGGAGUUUACUAUCGGCCGGGACAUAAAAUAUGAAGAGAUGAAACGUUUUCAUCAACAUGAUUCUUGGAAAUAAGAAGCGUGCUUAUGUUUUUGUCACAGAUCCUGAAGAAAACUAUAGAUCUGCAUGCAUUUGUAUCUUCAGAGAAUUCUAACUGUUGUUCUGGUGAGAAAAUAAUCUCAAAACAUAUGAUGUGAAGUGGACUUGGCUAAUAAUUCAUUUUGAUUAUGUAUAUGCAGAAUUAGUAGCUGAGAAAAUAGAAUGGGCAAGUAUACAAAUGGAUUUGAUAUUUGAUUCUUGGAGCUCACAUAUAUCUCCACAAUUGUUAAUUUUUAUCAUGCGUUGGUGGUGGGUACCUGAUACGGUACCUCUGGCUCUCUUCUUCACUGCAACAAGUUGCCAAAAAACCUUUACAGAAAUGGAUGCAUCCAUUCUUUUCCCUGGUACAGUUUGCUGCAGCCAACGUCGAAUUCUAUCUAAUUAGGGAAAAGGUCCAACAAAUUUCCACUAGAUCCAUCAAGCGCAUGAUUAAGCUUUUGAAAUUUCUGUGAAAUUGAAGGUCAGUAGAUCUCUCUUAAAUUGAUGAGGGGGCUACAAUUCGUACAAGGAAACUAGCCAGAGAUAUGCUACUAUUUUGGAAGAGAGUAGAUAAAGAGAUGGACUUAUCGAAUGAAGGCAGCAGCAAGGGAAUUUGAGCCUUGGCCUGUAGAGAUACGAUUUUGUAAGGAAGCUAGUGAUGGGCGCAAGAGCUGAUGAAGAGACAAUUGAAAGAUUAAUUGAGACGGGAGAUGGUGAACAAAUUUUCCAGAAGGCAAUCCAAGAACAAGGGGGAGGCUAGAUAAUGGACACUUUGGCCGAAAUUCAAGAGCGACAUGAUGCUGUUAGAGAUCUUGAGAGGAAGCUUCUCAAUUUACAACAGGUUUAGUUUGAUUCCAACUCCUUUUUGAAUAAAAAAAUUGGUUGUUUUUUUAUUUCUAUAGGGGAGUUGCAGGUGUCCGUGUCAGAUUCAUAAGGAAAAAGAACCAUUUUUGUGGAUAUAUUGAAACAUUCAGAAAGAAGGCACUCAAAUUACUUCUGCUCCAACCCAUUUCAACAAUUUAUCAAGCUUUAGUUGAAGCUCCUGGGAAGCAUAUCCAUUAUAUUGCCAACCUUGAAAAGCCUUGGUAAAUAAUGUACACAGUGGUGUUGAAAGUUUUCCUCAUUAUGCUCCUAUGCCCAGUUGGUCAGGUGUAUAUGACAUGCAGUGAGCUCGGGGACACGGAUAGGUUAAUUCAUCCAUGAUGUUGAGCCCUGUCUUGAAUGGUAUCUUGGGCGCCGCGUUUUAGAUGCUUAGGAACCAAAGAGAAAAAAGAAUGAGCUCAAGGGUGCAAUAUCGUUGAAGAUCAGCCCUAAACAAGUGCCUGGCCUGUAGGACAAGUAUUUAACCACCUUUACUACAGGGGCAAAAUAUGUGUGGACUACAUCUUCCUUCUGUUUCUUCUGUAACUUAUGGAAACAGGCAUCCUGCAUCUUUUUAGCUUUGAACAUUAGUGCUUGAAAGAUUAGCUACUGAAACAAGAACAACACACUUUUUUUUGCUUUUUUGUUUAGCUGUUAAAACACGUGCCUGGCCUGUAUGACAUAUAUUUGCCAUCUUAACUUGAAGGGCAAUAUAAGUGUUAAAUGCAUGUUACUUCUGUUUCUCAAGGAAACGGAGCAUUUUUUUGCAACUAUACCUUUUAUAAUCAGCUCGGUUGAAUGUAUAUAAAAGUCGAACUGCUUAUCUUACCGACACCUUUUACUCA